rfam:Lysinibacillus xylanilyticus strain DSM 23493 Scaffold3, whole genome shotgun sequence.
CAGCGUAGCACAUCCGUUGAAAGAACGCCACGUCCUGUGGCAUUACCGAAAUGACCGACAUCGUGUCGG